rnacentral:rRNA from 1 species
UACGUAGGGGGCUAGCGUUGUCCGGAAUCAUUGGGCGUAAAGGGUGCGUAGGCGGGUCUUUUAAGUCAGGGGUGAAAUCCUGGAGCUCAACUCCAGAACUGCCUUUGAUACUGAAGAUCUUGAGUGCGGGAGAGGUGAGUGGAACUGCGAGUGUAGAGGUGAAAUUCGUAGAUAUUCGCAAGAACACCAGUGGCGAAGGCGGCUCACUAGCCCGAUACUGACGCUGAGGCACGAAAGCGUGGGGAGCAAACAGG